rnacentral:rRNA from 1 species
GAUGAUCGCUAGCUACAGGCUUAACACAUGCAAGUCGAGGGGCAGCGGGAUUGAAGCUUGCUUCAAUUGCCGGCGACCGGCGCACGGGUGAGUAACGCGUAUCCAACCUUCCGCUUACUCGGGGAUAGCCGUUCGAAAGAAAGAUUAAUACCCGAUGGUAUCUUAAGCACGCAUGAGAUUAAGAUUAAAGAUUUAUCGGUAAGCGAUGGGGAUGCGUUCCAUUAGGCAGUUGGCGGGGUAACGGCCCACCAAACCUACGAUGGAUAGGGGUUCUGAGAGGAAGGUCCCCCACAUUGGAACUGAGACACGGUCCAAACUCCUACGGGAGGCACCAGUGAGGAAUAUUGGUCAAUGGGCGAGAGCCUGAACCAGCCAAGUAGCGUGAAGGAUGACGGCCCUACGGGUUGUAAACUUCUUUUGUGCGGGAAUAAAGGAACCUACGUGUAGGUUUUUGCAUGUACCGUAACGAAUAAGCAUCGGCUAACUCCGUGCCAGCAGCCGCCGUAA